AAGCGUGCCGAUUGGUGGUUGGUCAAGUUUUUCGUUAAAGCCCGCGGCCUAACCGCGGAAGCGCGAAGAAUACUAGCCGACUUGAGGGACAAAGAGGUGCCUGGAACGAAUGGAGUAGCAGUGAAAUGCGUUGAGACCAUUCGGAACACCAAAAGCGAAGGCAGGGCACUGGGUGUCACCUGACACUACUAGGACGAAAGCGUGGGGAGCGAAUGGGAUUAGAUACCCCAGUAGUCCACGCUGUAAACGAUGCUGACUAGUCAUCGGGGAGUGUCGACCCUCCUCGGUGGCGUAGCUAACGCGUUAAGUCAGCCGCCUGGGGAGUACGGUCGCAAGACUAAAACUCAAAGGAAUUGACGGGGACCUGCACAAGCGGUGGAGCAUGUGGUUCAAUUCGAUAGUAAGCGGGGAACCUUACCAGGGCUUGACAUGUAUCUGCAGAUCCAGCGAAAGCUGGACUCCUUCGAGGGUGAUACACAGAUGAUGCACGGUUGUCGUCAGCUCGUGUCGUGAGAUGUUGCCUUAAGUGGUAGAACGAGCGCAACCCUCAUUGUCCGUUUUAUUGUGUCGGACAAAACUGCCAGCGUUCAAGCUGGAGGAAGGCGGGGAUGACGUCAAAUCAGCGUGUCUCUUACGCCCUGGGCUACACACGUGCUACAAUGGGUAGUUACAAUGGGACGCAAAACCGCAAGGUGAAGCAAAUCCCCCAAAACUACCCCCAGUUCGGAUUGAGGGCUGCAACUCGCCCUCAUGAAGCCGGAAUCGCUAGUAACCGUGAAUCAGCCUCGUCACGGUGAAUACGUUCUCAGGUUUUGUACACACCGCCCGUCACGUCAUGGAAGUCGUGGGUACCCAAUACUCGCCGCAAGGUGAAUUAAGGUAAACGCGAUGACUGGGACGAAGUCGUAACAAGGUAA
rnacentral:rRNA from 1 species